GACAGAGGUGGCAAGCGUUGUUCGGAUUUAUUGGGUGUAAAGGGCGCGUAGGCGGCUCAUGAAGGCUGUGGUGAAAGUCCGGGGCUCAACCUCGGAUCGGCCGUGGCGACUCGUGGGCUGGAGCACUGUAGAGGCGGGUGGAAUUCCGGGUGUAGCGGUGGAAUGCGUAGAGAUCCGGAAGAACACCAGUGGCGAAGGCGGCCCGCUGGGCAGUGGCUGACGCUGAGGCGCGACAGCGUGGGGAGCAAACAGG
rnacentral:rRNA from 1 species